rnacentral:rRNA from 1 species
GGUUGAUCCUGCCAGUAGUCAUAUGCUUGUCUCAAAGAUUAAGCCAUGCAUGUCUAAGUAUAAACUGCUUAUACUGUGAAACUGCGAAUGGCUCAUUAAAUCAGUUAUAGUUUAUUUGAUGGUACUUUACUACUCGGAUAACCGUAGUAAUUCUAGAGCUAAUACGUGCGUAAAUCCCGACUUCUGGAAGGGACGUAUUUAUUAGAUAAAAGGCCGACCGAGCUUGCUCGACCCGCGGUGAAUCAUGAUAACUCCACGAAUCGCAUGGCCUUGCGCCGGCGAUGUUUCAUUCA